rnacentral:rRNA from 1 species
AUACGGGGGGUGCAAGCGUUGUUCGGAAUUAUUGGGCGUAAAGAGCGUGUAGGCGGCCUGAUAUGUCAGAUGUGAAAGCCCUGGGCUUAACCCAGGAAGUGCAUUUGAAACUGUCAGGCUCGAGUAGGGGAGAGGGAAGUGGAAUUCCUGGUGUAGAGGUGAAAUUCGUAGAUAUCAGGAGGAACACCGGUGGCGAAGGCGACUUCCUGGCCCUAUACUGACGCUGAGACGCGAGAGCGUGGGUAGC